AACGAACGCUGGCGGCAGGCUUAACACACGCAAGUCGAGCGCCCCGCAAGGGGAGCGGCAGACGGGUGAGUAACGCGUGGGAAUCUACCCAUCUCUACGGAAUAACGCAUGGAAACGUGUGCUAAUACCGUAUACGUCCUUCGGGAGAAAGAUUAUCGGAGAUGGAUGAGCCCGCGUUGGAUUAGCUAGUUGGUGGGGUAAAGGCCUACCAAGGCGACGAUCCAUAGCUGGUCUGAGAGGAUGAUCAGCCACACUGGGACUGGGACACGGCCCAGACUCCUACGGGAGGCAGCAGUGGGGAAUAUUGGACAAUGGGCGCAAGCCUGAUCCAGCCAUGCCGCGUGAGUGAUGAAGGCCCUAGGGUUGUAAAGCUCUUUCACCGGUGAAGAUAAUGACGGUAACCGAAGAAGAAGCCCCGGCUAACUUCGUGCCAGCCGCCGCAGUAACAC
rnacentral:rRNA from 1 species